rnacentral:tRNA from 1 species
GCAGCUUUAGCUCACUUGGGAGAGCGCCAGACUGAAGUUCGACUUCGGUUAAGCAACCACAUCUGUGCGGUAUCUGGAGGUACUGUGUUCGAUCCACAGAAGCUGCA